rnacentral:rRNA from 1 species
GACGAACGCUGGCGGCGUGCUUAACACAUGCAAGUCGAACGGAAAGGCCCUGCUUUUGUGGGGUGCUCGAGUGGCGAACGGGUGAGUAACACGUGAGUAACCUGCCCUUGACUUUGGGAUAACUUCAGGAAACUGGGGCUAAUACCGGAUAGGAGCUCCUGCUGCAUGGUGGGGGUUGGAAAGUUUCGGCGGUUGGGGAUGGACUCGCGGCUUAUCAGCUUGUUGGUGGGGUAGUGGCUUACCAAGGCUUUGACGGGUAGCCGGCCUGAGAGGGUGACCGGCCACAUUGGAACUGAGAUACGGCCCAGACUCCUACGGGAGGCAGCAGUGGGGAAUGUUGCACAAUGGGCGGAAGCCUGAUGCAGCAACGCCGCGUGCGGGAUGACGGCCUUCGGGUUGUAAACCGCUUUCGCCUGUGACGAAGCGUGAGUGACGGUAAUGGGUAAAGAAGCACCGGCUAACUACGUG